AAGAAUUAAGUAUUGUCAAGUUGGUCUAGAAUUGUGAAUUAAGACCUAAGACAAUUGCAUAAACUUGUGGGUCAAUGGGUUAGAUGGAUUAGGUCCAUAAUUGGGUUAGACCUAAGGUUACCUUAAAGAAAUGGACUAAAUUAGAGUAAUUGGUCAAAUCUAAUCAAAAGUUGAAUUAGAUUAGAUCAAAGACACUCUAGACUCAACUCCAAUAGUUGUAGUUGAAUGGGUCCAUGUCUUUAACUAGACCAAGAUGAACUUAAUUCAUAGCUAUGCGGUGGAACCCUAUUUACUAAGUUGAUCAAAUUAAAACUAAUGAACCGGUUGGUGUCUAAGGUAAGUUCGGCAGUUUGACCAGUGGUUCUUAAGUGGGAGCUACUCUCAUUGAUUUGAUCUCUGACGAGUUAAUGGCAUAUCCCCACCACUGAUCUCACUUACCUGGCCAACCUGGUGAGUUAGGUUUUGAUUAGAUCACUUGGUGAUUUAGGGCUCACCCAUGUCAUUAGGUAAAUCAGUGUGACUGAUUUAGGUACUCCUAAUGCCGGCUUUAAUUAAAUCCUUUUUAAUCUGACUUG
rnacentral:lncRNA from 1 species